CCUACGGGUGGCAGCAGUGAGGAAUAUUGGUCAAUGGGCUGAAGCCUGAACCAGCCAAGUCGCGUGAGGGAUGAAGGUCCUAUGGGUUGUAAACCUCUUUUGUCAGGGAGCAAGGUCGCCCACGUUUGCCCGUAUGGAGGUUCCCUGAAGAAAAAGAUCGGCUAACUCCGUUCCAGCCGCCCCGGUAAUACGGAGGAUGCGGGCGUUAUCCGGAUUUAUUUGGUUUAAAGGGGUCGUGGGGGGGACAUUAAGUCAGCGGUAAAAUUGGGGGGCUCAACCCCGUUUGGCCGUUGAAAAUGGGGUUCUUGAGUGGGCGAGAAGUAUGCGGAAUGCGUGGUGUAGCGGUGAAAUGCAUAGAUAUCACGCAGAACCCCGAUUGCGAAGGCAGCAUACCGGCGCUCGACUGACGCUGAGGCACGAAAGUGUGGGGAUCGAACAGGAUUAGAUACCCGAGUAGUC
rnacentral:rRNA from 1 species